CAGUCGCCGCGGUAAUACGAAGGGGGCUAGCGUUGCUCGGAAUCACUGGGCGUAAAGGGUGCGUAGGCGGGUCUUUAAGUCAGGGGUGAAAUCCUGGAGCUCAACUCCAGAACUGCCUUUGAUACUGAAGAUCUUGAGUUCGGGAGAGGUGAGUGGAACUGCGAGUGUAGAGGUGAAAUUCGUAGAUAUUCGCAAGAACACCAGUGGCGAAGGCGGCUCACUGGCCCGAUACUGACGCUGAGGCACGAAAGCGUGGGGAGCAAACAGGAUUAGAUACCCGCGUAGUCCCUGUCUCUUAUAA
rnacentral:rRNA from 1 species